rnacentral:misc_RNA from 1 species
AAGUCGUAACAAGGUUUCCGUAGGUGAACCUGCGGAAGGAUCAUUAACGAGUUUUGAACGGGUUGUAGCUGGUCUCUAUCUGAGGCAUGUGCACGCCCUGCUCAUCCACUCUCAACCUCUGUGCACUUAUUGUAGGUCGGUGAAAGGUUCGCUCUGCGAGCUGGAAGCCUUCCUAUGUUUCACUACAAACGUUUCAGUUUUAGAAUGUAAUCUUGCGUAUAACGCAUCUAUAUACAACUUUCAGCAACGGAUCUCUUGGCUCUC